rnacentral:lncRNA from 1 species
AUUACAUUGAAUUAUUAUUUUUUCCAAAUUAAUAUCGGUCUCAACGUGUCUGGCGUUCGAAUCCUGGUUGUAACAAUCUUGGUCAAACAUUACUUACCUCGGGCUGAAAUCCGGAUUACCGAGAGGGUUAAGACAAUAGCGUGUAAACAAAAGAUAAUCAUAUUGCUUGGAAUCAUUCUGAUGGAACGUUUACUAUUGCUUCAGCCUAUGAUUAUUUUGUUACCAAUUAGCCUUCCCUAACCAAAUUGUUUUAAGAUAUUUUGGCAAUGGAAAGGGCCUGAGAGAAUCAAACUGUUGGUUUUGAAGUUUGGAAGAGGUAUUUUAAUGACAAAUUCCGUUAGAAAAAAGUGUGGCAUGACUGAUGUUGAGACAUGUCCUUUAUGUAAGCAAGCCCCAGAAACCGAGCUUCAUGUUUUCAGGGACUACGGGCAAGUUAAACACGUAUGGUUGCAUUUCCAGAAAUUCACUGCAGGAAAUGUUUUCUAUUCAAAUAACAAUAGUGAUUGGCUGUCCAAAAACUUGGUUUACAAUGAUGUAGCUGCAGGUCUGGGCCCCUGGACAGUUAAUUCGCAGCCACUCUGGAGUCUGGACUGUGUUUGGUGUAAUUGUAACUACGUUGUUUUCGCUAGUGGGAAUCACUCCAUUGGGGGUAUUAUUCACCAAUCUAAGAAUAUGGUUAGGGACUUUUGAAUGGAAAAGAAUGAACUAGUGCCUAUCAAUAUUCACGUUUCAAGUAGCAGAGUGAUGAAUGAAGCCUAUUGUGAGGACUCCCCCUCUGUCCAGUCUGAUAAAAAUCAACUGUGAUGCUGCAGAUUCUCGGGUGGGGUUUGAAAGCAGCAGGCAGUGGUGAUGCGAGGGACUCAAAUGGUUGUUUUCUUUGGGCUUUUGCUGUUAAAUUGAUACCUAGUUCUGUGGUUAAAGCUGAACUGUGGGCUGUU